GCUGGAUGAAGAUAAGGAUUCUUCUCUUUUCAUUCAAAAUGUACCUCUGUCCAUCAGCCUCUUUCUCUCUCCAGUGGAAGAAAACUCCGGUCACGCCUGAAAAAAUGUUUAGGCUUGCUCGCAAGUCAAUCUUUUAGUCUGUGCAUCAGAUCCAAAAACCCCUCAAGCCUCUUCAGUCCUCUUCAGUCCCAGUGCGCUGCCCCUCAGGCUCCUGUUUGCCUAUGUGACGCUCCUGCCUGCACCGUCGGCCAAGCUCCGAAUGCUUGUUCCCCUCUUCUCCCCAAAUCAUUUUAAAAAACCCACAGAAGAGGAGGAGGGAGAAAAAAAGUUGAGAGACAGAGAGAGGCUGAGGGGAAAAAAGGGGGCAGUCCAGUCGUGGCCGUGAAGUCAUUUUUUUCCCCUUCAUCUCUCCUCCUCCUUUUCUCUCACCUCCCCCUCUCUCCCUAUCUCUCUCUGUGUCUCCCCCCUCCUUCUCUCUCUCUCCCUGUAUCUGUCUAUCUCUCUCGUCCUGAUAGUGGAGUGAGGCUCAAUGUCAGUGCAGCGCCUUGCCUGUCAACUUGUCAACAUUCCCCCCCAAAAAAAUCAGCAACAGGCGCUGUGAUCAACUCCAUAUGUCCACACAUGCACAUACACCGUGCACACAAGGUAACAUCAGAAUGAGAUCAAACAAAGUGAGAAUGAAAGGUGGGAUAAAGGGGAGGAGAGGACAAAAAGAUAAGUCAGAUUAAAAACUCAGACAAGAUUUAAGAAGUAAUAUCAGACAGAUGCAGAGUUUGGCAGGAGGAAGGACUGAAACCUCGAUCUGUACUUCAGAGUUAGAAAGCAGUUAAGUCUGCUGUGGAUAUGUGCUUUGUCAAAUCAUCACUCUUUUAGUAGCUAUCAUUUCCUCUCCCUCCUCCCCUCUCUUUCUCUCUGUGUCUUGUUCAAGAAAUAAAAAAAGAGGAGGGAAGAACUGCCCUUCUCACUCUUUG